AUGUGGUCCCACGAUAUCCUAAAUCAUAUGCAUGAGGAGACUUUAAUGAAGCUGAAAACCUUACAGACAGACUUUGACCAAUUAAAGUCUGAGUAUGACACACUGCUCGAGGUUCAUCGUCAGUCAGCACCUGCUGUGUUACACUCCAAUCAGUCUGUGCUGCAACAUGGCUCAGAUAACAAACACACUGUUACAACUCCCAGACCAAACUGGGAGCAAUGUUCAGACAUACAAGAGCUCUUUGAAGGUCAAUCCAGCCAAAAGAAGCUGGAGAUUUUGCUACAGCAGAUGAAUGGCCAAAAUGAGUUCUUCACUUAA
ensembl:lncRNA